rnacentral:rRNA from 14 species
CUUCUUAAAACGCAUCGUGAUGGGGAUAGAUUAUUGCAAUUAUUAAUCUUCAACGAGG